rnacentral:rRNA from 1 species
GAGCCCAAGAUUGAAAGCUGGCGCCUUCGGCGUCCGCAUUGUAAUCUCAAGAAGUGUUUUCCGCUUCGGACCAUGCCUAAGUCCCUUGGAAAAGGGCAUCAUAGAGGGUGAUAAUCCCGUACAUGGCAUGGAGCGCCCGAAGCUUUGUGAUACGCUUUCUAAGAGUCGAGUUGUUUGGGAAUGCAGCUCAAAAUGGGUGGUAAAUGCCAUCUAAGGCUAAAUAUUGGGGAGAGACCGAUAGCGAACAAGUACAGUGAUGGAAAGAUGAAAAGAACUUUGAAAAGAGAGUUAAACAGUACGUGAAAUUGCCAAAAGGGAAGGGUAGGAGGUCAGAGAUGCGUCGCAGGAUUCAGCCUUGCUUUUGCUUGGUGUUUUUCCCAGAUUGCAGGCCAACGUCGGUUUUGGGCACUGGAGAAGGGUAGGAGGAACGUGGCACCUCUCGGGGUGUGUUAUAGCCUCCUACUGGAUACAGCGACCGAGACCGAGGACAGCAGCGUACUCGUAAGAGCGGGCCUUUUGGCACCUUUACGCUUAGGGCGUUGGCAUAAUGGCCCUCUACCACCCGUCUU